rnacentral:tRNA from 1 species
GGGGAUUUAGCUGAGUGGUUCAGCGCCUGCCUCGCAAGCACAAGGACCUGAGCUCGAUCCCCAGUACUCCCC